rnacentral:rRNA from 1 species
GAUGAACGCUGGCGGCGUGCCUAAUACAUGCAAGUCGAACGCUGAAGGAGGAGCUUGCUCUUCUGGAUGAGUUGCGAACGGGUGAGUAACGCGUAGGUAACCUGCCUGGUAGCGGGGGAUAACUAUUGGAAACGAUAGCUAAUACCGCAUGACAACAGUUAUUGCAUGAUAACUGUUUAAAAGGGGCAACUGCUCCACUACCAGAUGGACCUGCGUUGUAUUAGCUAGUUGGUGAGGUAACGGCUCACCAAGGCGACGAUACAUAGCCGACCUGAGAGGGUGGUCGGCCACACUGGGACUGAGACACGGCCCAGACUCCUACGGGAGGCAGCAGGAGGGAAUCUUCGGAAAUGGACGGAAGUCUGACCGAGCAACGCCGCGUGAGUGAAGAAGGUUUUCGGAUCGGAAAGCUCGGUUGUAAGAGAAGAAAGAGUGUGAGAGUGGAAAGUUCACACUGUGACGGUAUCUUACCAGAAAGGGACGGCUAACUACGUG